CAUUAACGAGUCUUGAAGGGGGUUGUCGCUGGCCUUUCGAGGCAUGUGCACGCCCCGUUCUACUCUCUCUAUACACCUGUGCACUCACUGUGGGACAUGAAACGCGCUGCGCUCUUUUGCGUGGUGUGGGUCUGGCUCACGUCUCACUACAAACGAAUCAGUAACAGAAUGUGACUUGCGGUUUAACGCAUUUUAAUACAACUUUCAGCAACGGAUCUCUUGGCUCUCGCAUCGAUGAAGAACGCAGCGAAAUGCGAUAAGUAAUGUGAAUUGCAGAAUUCAGUGAAUCAUCGAAUCUUUGAACGCACCUUGCGCCCCUCGGUAUUCCGAGGAGCAUGCCUGUUUGAGUGUCAUAUAAUUCUCAACUCACUGGGUUCUUACGAGCCUUGUGCAGUCGGACUUUGGAGGCUUUUGCUGGCUUUAAUCGGUCGGCUCCUCUCAAAUGCAUUAGCUUGGUUCACUGUGGAUCGGCUCUCGGCGUGAUAAUCAUUUCUACGCUGUGACCGUGAAGCGUUAGGCGAGCUUAUAAUCAGUCUCGUUAGAGACGACUUUGAAAUCUGACCUCAAAUCAGGUAGGACUACCCGCUGAACUUAAGCAUAUCAAUAAGCGA
rnacentral:rRNA from 1 species